AGAGCGAACGCUGGCGGCAGGCCUAACACAUGCAAGUCGAACGGACCCUUCGGGGUUAGUGGCGGACGGGUGAGUAACACGUGGGAACGUGCCUUUAGGUUCGGAAUAGCUCCUGGAAACGGGUGGUAAUGCCGAAUGUGCCCUUCGGGGGAAAGAUUUAUCGCCUUUAGAGCGGCCCGCGUCUGAUUAGCUUGUUGGUGAGGUAAUGGCUCACCAAGGCUACGAUCAGUAGCUGGUCUGAGAGGAUGACCAGCCACAUUGGGACUGAGACACGGCCCAAACUCCUACGGGAGCAGCAGUGGGGAAUCUGCGCAAGUGGGCGAAAGCCUGACGCAGCCAUGCCGCGUGUAUGAUAGAAGGUCUUAGGAUUAGUAAAAUCUUUCGACCGGUAGAAGAUAAGUGACGUGUA
rnacentral:rRNA from 1 species